rnacentral:rRNA from 1 species
UGCAGUCGAACGGCAGCACGGGAGCUUGCUCCUGGUGGCGAGUGGCGAACGGGUGAGUAAUAUAUCGGAACGUGCCCUAGAGUGGGGGAUAACUAGUCGAAAGAUUAGCUAAUACCGCAUACGAUCUACGGAUGAAAGUGGGGGAUCGCAAGACCUCAUGCUCAUGGAGCGGCCGAUAUCUGAUUAGCUAGUUGGUGGGGUAAAAGCUCACCAAGGCGACGAUCAGUAGCUGGUCUGAGAGGACGACCAGCCACACUGGAACUGAGACACGGUCCAGACUCCUACGGGAGGCAGCAGUGGGGAAUUUUGGACAAUGGGCGCAAGCCUGAUCCAGCAAUGCCGCGUGAGUGAAGAAGGCCUUCGGGUUGUAAAGCUCUUUUGUCAGGGAAGAAACGGUCUUGGUUAAUACCUGGGGCUAAUGACGGUACCUGAAGAAUAAGCACCGGCUAACUACGUGCCAGCAGCCGCGGUAAUACGUAGGGUGCAAGCGUUAAUCGGAAUUACUGGGCGUAAAGCGUGCGCAGGCGGUUAUACAAGACAGAUGUGAAAUCCCCGGGCUCAACCUGGGAAUUGCAUUUGUGACUGUAUGGCUAGAGUGUGUCAGAGGGGGGUAGAAUUCCACGUGUAGCAGUGAAAUGCGUAGAUAUGUGGAGGAAUACCGAUGGCGAAGGCAGCCCCCUGGGAUAACACUGACGCUCAUGCACGAAAGCGUGGGGAGCAAACAGGAUUAGAUACCCUGGUAGUCCACGCCCUAAACGAUGUCUACUAGUUGUCGGGUCUUAAUUGACUUGGUAACGCAGCUAACGCGUG